UAUAAAAGCGCAUGUCCUCCUCCACGUAGAUCUUUCCAGUCGCAUGUUGAAGUUGGAGAAGGAUCAUGUCUCGCCACUCUCCUGAUUACAACAGGCUGCAAUGUCAUCGCCCAAGCACGGGCAAGACUGCCAUGUUUUCCAUCUCUAUCCUGCAGAAUUGGACCCAGGCUCUGGUGCUGGCCCCCACCACAGAGCUGGCUCAGCAGGUAUGCUGUGCCUAAGGUCUGGAUUAACGUACAUGUUUAUCAGACCGAGGGCAGAAUAUUUGGACAAUCUACAACUAAAAAGAUCCAGAAGGGGCUUCUGGCUCUGGGGGACUACAUGGGGGCGUCCUGGCAUGCUUAAGUUGGGCACUAAUGUCCGCAAAGACUGCAGGCUGGGUCCCCCUGCAUAGUGGUAUGAACACCAGGCUGGAUGUUUGAUGCUUAACAGGUGACUCCUGUAAGUACUCAUCAGUGUGGUCCUCCUCUCCUGUCAGCCACCAUGCCUACUGAUGUGCUGGAGGUGACCAAGAAGUUCAUGUGAGAGCCCAUUGGCAUUCUGGUGAAAUAAAAGGAAUUUCCCUAGAGGGUAUUAAGCAGUUCUACAUCAAUGUAGAG